rnacentral:rRNA from 1 species
GGUGAACGCUGGCGGUAGGCCUAACACAUGCCAGUCGAACGGCAGCACAGUAAGAGCUUGCUCUUACGGGUGGCGAGUGGCGGACGGGUGAGGAAUACAUCGGAAUCUACUUUUUCGUGGGGGAUAACGUAGGGAAACCUACGCUAAUACCGCAUACGACCUACGGGUGAAAGCAGGGGAUCUUCGGACCUUGCGCGAUUGAAUGAGCCGAUGUCGGAUUAGCUAGUUGGCGGGGUAAAGGCCCACCAAGGCGACGAUCCGUAGCUGGUCUGAGAGGAUGAUCAGCCACACUGGAACUGAGACACGGUCCAGACUCCUACGGGAGGCAGCAGUGGGGAAUAUUGGACAAUGGGCGCAAGCCUGAUCCAGCCAUACCGCGUGGGUGAAGAAGGCCUUCGGGUUGUAAAGCCCUUUUGUUGGGAAAGAAAAGCAGCAGGUUAAUACCCCGCUGUUCUGACGGUACCCAAAGAAUAAGCACCGGCUAACUUCGUG